rnacentral:misc_RNA from 1 species
UGUUUUUAACAAAACAAAACAAGUUUGAGUGCAAUUGGAUUUAUACUGUGUAGAUUGUUCAUGUUGAACUGUAAAACUGUGCUUUUCUCUGCAAACACAAAACCAGAUUUCAAUAGAAAUAUCAUGUAGAAGAUAUAAAUACGAUAGUCUGUACAGAGUGUCUGUAGACAAAACAAUACAUUAUCAGAACUGUGCAGAUGCUUUUACAACUGUCAAUUAUAUAACUAACAAUUCAAUUGAGUUGACAGUUAAAUUAGUCUGUCUAAGGAUAAAACAAUUAAUAUAUUAUGUACUGUAUAAACAAUCUCUCCCUCCUCACGUCGUCCCUUUGUUGCUUUAAAUCUCUGUAAUAGAACUCUAUGAUGCCGAGUUCAAUCGAUUGAGAGUUCAUUUAAAUCAUUUUAAUUCAAAUUUUUAAAUGGAGAGAAUAGGCGUCUAUUUACACCAGUUAUUCAGGAUUCAUGAUGUAUGGAUGUUUGUUGACCAAUCAAUCUGCUCAUUUUUAUCUUUACAUACAUGUACAUUAAUCAUCGUGUUUACUGUGAAAUAGACCAUGUAUGAAUGCUUGGUAUCAUUUUUGACGGUUUAAGUUUUGUUGAAUGGUUUUUUUAAUCUCUACUUGAACAUGUUAUUUUUAUACAGUAUUUGAACAAUAUCAAAUAUUUGUUGAUUUCUGAAUAAAAUCUUUUUCU